UCGACUGUUUUAACAAAAACAUUUUUUUUAGUCUUUAUAAAAAAUAUAACCUGCCCACUGAGUUUUAAAGGGCCGCGGUAUUAUGACCGUGCUAAGGUAGCAUAAUCAUUAGUCUCUUAAUUAGGGAAUUGUAUGAAUGGUUGAACCUGGAAAAACUUUUUUUCUUAAAAAUAUAAAAUUUUCGUUUUUAAUGAAAAUGUUAAAAUAUCGCAACGGGACGAUAAGACCCUAUAGAGCUUUAUGUAUCCGUGAUUUUACUAAUUAGGGGUUAUUUAAGAUUUUUAUGUUUAUGUUUAAUUGGGGCAAUAGAAGAAUAGUUUUAACUUCUUUAAAAAUAAUUUUUUCUAAAAAUUUUAAAUUUUAAAAAGUUACCUUAGGGAUAACAGCGUUAUAUUUCUUUAGAGUUCUAAUCGACAGAAAUGUUUGCGACCUCGAUGUUGAAUUAAAAUUUCUUCAUGGGGCAGUACUUAUGUUAGAUAGUCUGUUCGACUAUAAAAAUUUUACAUGAUUUGAGUUCAGACCGGA
rnacentral:rRNA from 1 species